GGGGACAGCAUAUAUGGUUCAGACUACAAACUGCUUCUGUGUGACUAAGAGAAGAAGAAUCAGAGUAAAGAGAAACAUACUCUCUUAAUCUCCGAAAAUUAACAGCAGGAGGAGCUCUAGAAUUUCACAAAGGUGCUGUCAGGACACAUGAAAAUCUGGAGAAAAAGACCGGCUUGAAGAGACCAAAAAGAAGAAAGCCUGCCAAUCACAUCCUCCAGAGAUUCUGAGACACACACACCCCUGGUGUAGGGGGACACCAUCUGAAAGGUGACACCCACUCUACGGAAUAUAAGUACCAGCUAAAGAGGACACACACUUGAAGAAAAAGGAGACAAUGAGGUCUUGUGAAUGCUCUAAUUUUUCAAAGCUUACUUUUAAUGAUGGUUCUUAAACGCUUUAACCUCCCUUCUAGUCCACCACCCACCAAAGGUAGUGGGAAAGAAAGGUGAUUAGGAUACAGGCGAAGUGAACCUGUUCAGACAUGGUUCUUUGGUGCACAACCUAGCAGGAACAUCCAGGUCUCAGUGGAAUCAGCUC
ensembl:processed_transcript Platr14 pluripotency associated transcript 14